rnacentral:rRNA from 1 species
UACGUAGGGUGCGAGCGUUAAUCGGAAUUACUGGGCGUAAAGCGUGCGCAGGCGGUUCGUUGUGUCGGCGGUGAAAGCCCCGGGCUCAACCUGGGAAUGGCCGUUGAAACUGGCGAACUGGAGUGUGGCAGAGGGGGGUGGAAUUCCGCGUGUAGCAGUGAAAUGCGUAGAUAUGCGGAGGAACACCGAUGGCGAAGGCAAUCCCCUGGACCUGUACUGACGCUCAUGCACGAAAGCGUGGGGAUCAAACAGG